rnacentral:lncRNA from 1 species
UUGCUUUUUCUAUAUUUUUACGAAUCAUUGAAUUUUCUGCUCCUGGCGUACUAAAUUCUGCUGUAAUUGAUAUUACAAAUUUUGAAGUAUUUUACUUACAUCUGUUAUAGGCUGUGCAUUAGCAUCUGUAGCUGCAUGUAAUGCUUUUAUCAUUUCUUCUCUUAAAUUUUCAUACCAUUCUUUAACAUUUCCUACUAAGGUGGUUACAAUAUAUUGUCCUACUUU